ACCAGCAUGGAGCAGUGGUUUGAGUGUUGGACUAGGAUUCUGGAGUCCAGGGUUCGAAUCCCAGCCCAGCCA
rnacentral:tRNA from 1 species